UAAAGAUCACACGCUUAAGAAGUUUGGACAAAAAGGAAAGAAGAGACCGGUCUGUAGGUGUUUUCUUCAGAUGGGAUAACUCUUGCCUCCUUCAGAGAGUUGGGAAAAGUCAGAUGACAGAAGAGUUAAUGAGACAGGUGAGGAAAGGAAGAAGGUCAGGAGCGAUAGAUUGUAGCAUAUGGGGUGCAAUGGGGUCAAGAGGCCAGGUGGUCGGACGGGCAGAGGUUACUACGGUAAGAAUACGGUUAGGAGACAGGGGGAGUGAAAGGAAAGUGAGGGCGAUGGAGGUAGAAGUCGGUGGGACACAAGUAAUAGGAGAUAGGUUUGAGAAAGGAGCGUAAAAUAGUUGACAAAGGUCCCGGAAGAAGGGUGGAGGGGGGAGGAGGACUCCGGCGUCAGAGAAGGUUGUGGAAGAGAGAAGAGUUUUUGGGGGUUAGAAAAAGAGGAUUCAAUUGGAUUGGUAGAAAGAGCUUUUGGGAGCGGAGACAGAAGCAGAAAAAGAGGAGAGACAAGAUUGAAACGCAAGCAGGUCAUCACGUUGUUUAUAUUAACUUCACUUUACUCCUUUCUGAUGCAUGCAUGGUGGCUCUCACAGCACGCACCGGUUGAGACAGCCACAGAGCCUGGAGGGGAUUUGCUAGUCCGUCGUGUUGUAAGAGGAGGAAAGAGUUGAGAGAAGAGUCUCUGCGUCAGUGUUCGGAGUGAGAAGGAGUCAGUUGAAGGGAGAGCUGAUAGAACAGAGGAGGGAGAGAGGGAGCGAAUGUCAGUUGAUGGGGUGGGGUCGUUAGUUCGAGGGAGCGGAAGAGAGUAGGCGAUGAAGAAGUUGUCAGACGUGAAAUGAAGUUACAGUGAGGUUAGAGGUAAAGCAGUUUCUGGGGAAGAUAUAGUCAAGGUGAUUACCGGCUUUUUGAGUAGGAGGAGAGUGGCACUAGUGCCAAAGAAGAAAGUAGGAAUAAAACGUCAGAUGACUUCUGUCUGGAUUUUAAAGUACAAAAACCUGAAAUUCAGCAAACAAUUCUUAUUGAUGUGUGCGAGACAGUGUCUGCCAGAAUGUUAGCACACCACUUCUUUUAACAAGUUGAACCCUUGUAGGUAAAGUGACAGCCGCAUGAUGCACUGCUUGGCAGUUUUCAUCCUGGAAAGAAACACAAGGCGAUUUUGGUUACAUUUCAUGCUAAAGAGGUUCCUGUGGUACUGAAAUGCAUGUCAGGUACCAGCUCUGCUGGGAAAGCUCUGUGCAACCACAUUGUGGCCUCAUUGUUUCAAAGUGCUCACUACUGUACCAUGGGCUUCAAGCAAUGUACCAUUGCCACUGUCAUGCACCAGCUCCCUGCAGACCUGGCCUAGGACACAUGGAAUUGCUCCUGAGGCAACAAAUGACAUGGUAGUGUGUAAACCAGUACCGAAGUCCAAGGAUCAUGCCCAAACUGGUGUGAAAUGUACACUGUACAGAGCAUAUGGUGGUCCUCUUCCAGAUCCUCACAUCAUUGCCAGUGUUGAGAAACUGCGAGACAAACGCCCACAACCAGGCAUUUGUAAAUUGCUCCACGGGCUUGAGGCCCUUAAUUUUGUGGACUCUAAAUUUGGCCCUGUGCCAUUUGGGUCUUUGCUCUCUUACCCUGGUGCCCCUGGAUUUCCUCAGUUGCCCGUUGAAGGUCAUAAUUUUAAAUAUCAAAUACAAUUUGAGUCUAACUACAAGAAACAAUGCCACUUAGAAAGCCUUAAUCGAAGCACAAACACGACUGCAGUCACAAUGCCCGCUGUGGACCCAGGUACGCAAACCCCGACUUACAGCCAGCAGAUUUGGUGAGAUUUGUCAUGUCCGUGGAGGGUCAACUGCAAAAUCCUUAGCUGUUCGCAUUCUGAGAGAAACUCCUCAGACAGCAGCUAUGAAAAGAGGGCUGGAACUGGAGCCUGACAUACUGAGGCAAUAUUCUGAUUUAUGUGAGGUCACUGUGACGCAGUGUGGGGUCGUCAUCCACCCUGAUGCACCUCACCUUGCAGCCAGCCCUGAUGCUAAAGUCUUCAACCCCAGAGAAACACCACCAUUUGGGUUAGCAGAGGUAAAGAGUUGUGAUGUUGAAGAUGUUUCUCAAGUUAAACACCUGAUCAUAGUUCGAGGCCAGGCCUGCCUUAAGAAAAGCCACAAAUUUUACUAUCAGGUUCAAGGCCAGCUGGCCAUAAGCGGACUUCAGUGGUGUGAUUUCUAACAGAUACUCACACUGACUUCACAGUUGAAAGAAUAUUUAGGGAUGAGGAGAUCAUCAACUCAAUGCGACAGAAGCUGGAUUAUUUUUAUCACAACAUCUACAUGGAUGUGUUAUUACGUUGAGACAGAAUUUUCAAAUGUAAAUAGUUCCAUGUACAUCUGAUGCAUGUUAUUCCUGUUGUAAAUACUUUUUCCAUUUACAACUUAAGUCAGAGUGCAUUGUAUGUAAAUAUCCUUUGUCUUAUCGAGCAGUGAUCACUCUAGUUUUUACAGUCUUAGUUGCAAGGAACUGCUUCC
ensembl:lncRNA